GGUUAGAACAAUUGUGUUGGGAUACCUGUAAGAAUACAGUUACAAUGGUGGGCCAUGGAAAAGUAUGCUGGGAAUGAGAGAAAUGAAGAUGUGAGGAGAGUGACCGACAGAGAAGAAGUGGUUUUGAAAGACUCGGGGACGGUGGCUUGUGUAGGUGGAAAGACAAACAGAGUGACUGGGCGUGCCAGAGAGGCGACCAGAUGAUUGCAGGCAGAGGUGUGGGUGGCACACGUGAGUGCACACCCUGACGCCUGAGGAGCGAGAGGAUCACAGGAGACGAGAAUAGCUUCAGAGAUAUACCCAUUGCAUGCUAAUGCACCAGGCUGGAUUUUUGUUUCGGAGAUGGAAGAAAAUACUGAGCAAGACCAAAACUUCCCUAAAAGGACAGCCAGCCAGCUCCAACACGCUGGCGAUAGAGACGGUCGUUUCAAAUCGUCACUGUCUAACCCUGGGAAGGACCCUGGACUGGCCAGCCCCGUGUGCUUGCCUGAGCAAGUGUUCAAAGCAGAGUUGUCAUUUGCUGUCAUUUUUCAGUCUGAGAAUUUGGUGGCCCUGGAGACCACGUGAAAGGACUGACCUGGGGCCACACAAGGCACCUUCGAGAGCCCGUGGCCUCGCCCGCGUGGCACUGAGCACCAAGGGAACAUCUGAGGCACCUGGGAGAGGCGUAGGGCUCCACCACCGGCCCCCGUUCAGCUGGCAGCGCUGUGGCCACUAAAGCCCGCAAUCCUGGCCUCAGACCACGACCAAGUCUUCUUCUUAGGCCCUAUUAAAGGUCGUUAAGUUUGGGUUCCAACAAACUCUAUGAAAAAGUUGUCAUUCUCUCACAUCACUGAGAUGAGACAUCAAGUGGGUGGGUAGGGGGAUGGGCACCAGGAAGUGAUCAGGCUGUCAGAAUAGAGAGAAGUCAGUCUCCGGGCAGAAACAGGUCCUUCUGAGUGCGUGCAGCCAGGGAGCUUGACCCAGGUUUUAUGGUCAGGGAAGGAGGUCGGACAAGGUGAAGGGCUUCCAUGCUGUUCUGUAGGACAUGGAGGCAUUAGUUAGAUAAAGGCAUUAAGAAUGAAGAGGAAUGGACUCCAGGCAGAGGGAAUAACGUGGGUGGAAAGAACAGGAGUGCUGGUGAAAAGCGUGCUCUGUUCUAGGAACUGCACCUGCUUCAGUGGGCACUUCACUGAAAUCAAAUACAAUGAAUUUACCCGUGUGACUCUUCACUUACUUAUAAAUCAACGCUUUCUCACUGUGAAUUUAUAUAACAAUAAACCACUACAAUCAGAUGGAUCAUGCUUGUGGGUGAGAGGUAGCUGGAUUUUACUAUUAUCGGGAUAAGAGGUGAGCAUAAAACCUUAAGAAUUUACCUUAAAAUAUAAAUACAUUACAAGUUUAGAAAUGCUUGAUAAAUUUGAAGGUUUUUUUUUACUAGCACUAUUCAAUCCAAGAUUUAAGUAUA